AUAAUUGGACUUGGAUCGAUGGAACAAAUUUCAGAUAUACAAACUGGUGUCAUGGAAAACCGAGCAAUAAUUAUGGCCAGUGCCUGGAGAUGAAUUUUUCAGCAAAAAAGUGUUGGAAUGGUGUGUUCUGUUCCUGCCUCCGCCCAUCUGUCUGCGUCAAGAAAAUCUGGUGAUUCCUGACCUCAUACAAAGGCAUGGAGUACCUGGCAAAGAAGCAAACUGUCUCAUAUAUCCCCCAAAGAGUCCGCUUCUCAUUUUACAUCUUUGCUUCAGUUCUUUUGCAGUGAUGCUGAAAAAAAAUGCAAAUAAAAUGACAGAAAAUGUAGUUUUUCACUUUCAGGAAUGUGUAAUGGAAAUGCUGCUUUUAGCAAAGGUUCAAGUACAAAAAUGAACUGUUCUUUCUGGCUUGUCUGUAUCAUUAAAAUCUUAAGCACUGAA